AUUGAACGCUGGCGGCAUGCCUUACACAUGCAAGUCGAACGGCAGCACGGGAGCAAUCCUGGUGGCGAGUGGCGAACGGGUGAGUAAAGUAUCGGAACGUGCCCAGUCGUGGGGGAUAACGUAGCGAAAGUUACGCUAAUACCGCAUACGAUCUAUGGAUGAAAGCGGGGGAUCGCAAGACCUCGCGCGAUUGGAGCGGCCGAUAUCAAGUUAGGUAGUUGGUGGGGUAAAGGCUCACAAAGCCGACGAUUUGUAGCUGGUCUGAGAGGACGACCAGCCAAACUGGGACUGCAACACGGCCCAGAAUCCUACGGGAGGCAGCAGUGGGGAAGUUUGGACAAUGGGCGAAAGCCUGAUCCAGCCAUGCCGCGUGCAGGAUGAAGGCCUUCGGGUUGUAAACUGCUUUUGUACGGAACGAAAAGGUUUGGCCUAAUAAGCUGAGCUCAUGACGGUACCGUAAGAAUAAGCACCGGCUAACUACGUGCCAGCAGCCGCCGUAA
rnacentral:rRNA from 1 species